rnacentral:rRNA from 1 species
GUAGGUGGCAAGCGUUGUCCGGAAUUAUUGGGCGUAAAGCGCGCGCAGGUGGUUCUUUAAGUCUGGUGUGAAAGCCCCCGGCUCAACCGGGGAGGGUCAUUGGAAACUGGGGAACUUGAGUGCAGGAGAGGAAAGUGGAAUUCCACGUGUAGCGGUGAAAUGCGUAGAUAUGUGGAGGAACACCAGUGGCGAAGGCGACUUUCUGGCCUGUAACUGACACUGAGGCGCGAAAGCGUGGGGAGCAAACAGGGAUUAGAUACCCUGGUAGUCCACGCCGUAAACGAUGAGUGCUAAGUGUUGGGGGGGUUUCCCGCCCCUCAGUGCUGCAGCUAACGCAUUAAGCACUCCGCCUGGGGAUACGGUCGCAAGACUG